CCUGGUUGAUUCUGCCAGUAGUCAUAUGCUUGUCUCAAAGAUUAAGCCAUGCAUGUCUAAGUAUAAGCAAUUAUACAGCGAAACUGCGAAUGGCUCAUUAUAUAAGUUAUCGUUUAUUUGAUAGUACCUUACUACUUGGAUAACCGUGGUAAUUCUAGAGCUAAUACAUGCUAAAAAUCCCGACUCCGGAAGGGAUGUAUUUAUUAGAUUAAAAACCAAUGCCCCCUGGGCUCUCUGGUGAUUCAUAAUAACUUCUCGAAUCGCAUGGCCUUGUGCCGGCGAUGGUUCAUUCAAAUUUCUUCCCUAUCAACUUUCGAUGUUUGGGUAGUGGCCAAACAUGGUUGCAACGGGUAACGGAGGGUUAGGGCUCGACCCCGGAGAAGGAGCCUGAGAAACGGCUACUACAUCCAAGGAAGGCAGCAGGCGCGCAAAUUACCCAAUCCCGAUUCGGGGAGGUAGUGACAAUAAAUACCGAUACAGGGCUCUUUUGGGUCUUGUAAUUGGAAUGAGUACAAUUUAAAUCCCUUAACGAGGAACAAUUGGAGGGCAAGUCUGGUGCCAGCAGCCGCGGUAAUUCCAGCUCCAAUAGCGUAUAUUAAAGUUGUUGUGGUUAAAAAGCUCGUAGUUGAACCUUGGGCCUGGCUGGCCGGUCCGCCUCACCGCGUGUACUGGUCCGGCCGGGCCUUUCCCUCUGUGGAACCCCAUGCCCUUCACUGGGCGUGGCGGGGAAACAGGACUUUUACUUUGAAAAAAUUAGAGUGCUCCAGGCAGGCCUAUGCUCGAAUACAUUAGCAUGGAAUAAUGAAAUAGGACGCGCGGUUCUAUUUUGUUGGUUUCUAGGACCGCCGUAAUGAUUAAUAGGGACAGUCGGGGGCAUCAGUAUUCAAUUGUCAGAGGUGAAAUUCUUGGAUUUAUUGAAGACUAACUACUGCGAAAGCAUUUGCCAAGGAUGUUUUCAUUAAUCAGGAACGAAAGUUAGGGGAUCGAAGACGAUCAGAUACCGUCGUAGUCUUAACCAUAAACUAUGCCGACUAGGGAUCGGACGAUGUUAUUUUUUGACUCGUUCGGCACCUUACGAGAAAUCAAAGUGCUUGGGCUCCAGGGGGAGUAUGGUCGCAAGGCUGAAACUUAAAGAAAUUGACGGAAGGGCACCACCAGGGGUGGAGCCUGCGGCUUAAUUUGACUCAACACGGGGAAACUCACCAGGUCCAGACACAAUGAGGAUUGACAGAUUGAGAGCUCUUUCUUGAUUUUGUGGGUGGUGGUGCAUGGCCGUUCUUAGUUGGUGGAGUGAUUUGUCUGCUUAAUUGCGAUAACGAACGAGACCUUAACCUGCUAAAUAGCCCGUAUUGCUUUGGCAGUACGCUGGCUUCUUAGAGGGACUAUCGGCUCAAGCCGAUGGAAGUUUGAGGCAAUAACAGGUUGACCUACAC
rnacentral:rRNA from 1 species